AAAAAAAAAAAAAAAAAAGUCGACUCAGAAAGCAAGGAUUUCAAUAACAAAGAUUUACCCAAUGUCUUCUCCAGUCUCACUCUGUCACCCAGGCUGGAGUGCAGUGCUGUGAUCUCGGCUCGCUGCAACCUCCGCCUCCCCGCUGCAACCUCCGCCUCCCCGGUUCAAGCGAUUCUCCUGCCUCAGCCUCCCGAGCUGCUUGGAUUACAGGAAGUAAGUGAUCUGUGAAAAACAUUUCUUCAGUUACAUUUUGUCUUCUUGCCUUCACUAAUGUAAAAGCUUACUGUCAUUUUGUUGAGCCUUUGAAAGAUUUUAGUUAGGUACACAUCUAUGCUUCGGAAGAAGGAGACACACUGGAUUUCUAAUGCAAUCUCGACCCUUCCUGUCUCAUUGUUCACAUUUAAUCAAGAGACGCUCAGUUACUCAUAAGUUUUAAAAAGUUGCAGUACACAGAAACAGUAUAAAAGUUCAUCUCUUAAAAAUGA